UACAGAGGGUGCGAGCGUUAAUCGGAAUUACUGGGCGUAAAGCGUGCGUAGACGGUUAUGUAAGUCGGAUGUGAAAGCCCCGGGCUCAACCUGGGAAUUGCAUUCGAGACUGCAUAGCUAGGAUGCGGAAGAGGGAAGCGGAAUUUCCGGUGUAGCGGUGAAAUGCGUAGAUAUCGGAAGGAACACCAGUGGCGAAGGCGGGUCUCUGGGCCGAUACUGACGCUGAGGAGCGAAAGCGUGGGGAGCGAACAGG
rnacentral:rRNA from 1 species